AGGAGCCUGAGCAUUUCUUCCAGCCCCCCUCCCUUCCCCUUCCUUCUUCCCCCUUUCUUAAAUCCUUGUCUCCUUCCCUCUCUUCCUCCCUCUCUUCCUCUUCCUCCUCCUCCCCUUCUUCUCUUGACAAGAUUUCUUUAUGUGGUCCAGGCUGUUCUCAAAGUUGUCAUUCUCUUGCCCCUGUCUCGUGAUGCUGGGAUUGCAGUCAUGACCAUCAUGCCCCAUGACUGAAUUGGGCCUUUUUAAAUGAUGGCUCUGCCCAGUCUGCACUAGACCUGUACAGGAAGACUGGAUUUUGGACUAUGGAGAAGACUCAACUUCCCAAUAAAAAGGACAAAGGGUAACAGAAUGGAUGAGAAAACAGGAUCCAUCCUUCUGCUGAAUGCAAGAGUCACACCUCAAUACCAGAGAUAGAUGUUACCUCAAGGCCACGUGUCUUUUAUCUGCUAAACAACACUGCUAAAGUAAAAGAGGAAGCAGCCGCUGGCUCUCAACAUGACCAGCCAACCUUUUGUCAUCUGACUUGAUGCUUCUGAACUGACAAACACCACACUGAAACUGAUUCCGGACUACAUCGCUCUACACAACUCCAGAUGAAUUAACUGAUAUGGUGUGCCUUCUACCCUCUGGCCAGAGCCUCAGAUAAGAGCUUCAAUCAAGAUUAGAACUUCAGUCAAGGACUUCAAUCAAGCAUCUCCCGCCAAACAGAGACCGGGUACAAAUGUUGUUGCCAGUCCACUGGAGACUUUCACUGCACUAACAUUUUCUUCCUACAGGAUCCCAUGAGGUUAUCAUCAUCCCAUUCCAGCAGGAAGUAGUUCUGAGAAUACUAUGCCCCCUUUCCCUACUGUUGAUUACAUGAUAAUUUACACUUGUUUAGAGGUAGUUUUCCAUAGUUUAGGGUUGGGAUUGGAAGGAGGUGUUCAGACUUGGGCAUCUCUUUCAGAUAAGUUUAGGUUUAGAGGGACUAUAUAUGCUUAGGAUGGUAUAUAGGUAGAUUAUUAUAUCUUCUGGUGAUUUAUAAUUUGUUUAUCACAAUU